rnacentral:ncRNA from 2 species
UGGCGGCGGCGUGCCGAAGGUGCUCCCGUUAUGGCGGGAGAGAAUAGGGAACCGGGUGAGAAUCCUGGACUGUGCCCGCAACUGUAAGCGCCGAGUUGUUCCGCAUCGCCACCGGUCACACCCGGGAAGGCGCGGACGACGUUUGAGGCGCGAGUCAGGAGACCUGCCCGCGGCUGUCGUCCUUU